rnacentral:lncRNA from 1 species
GUCAGCACAAUUCAGUGACCACAGGCCACAAGGAUGCAGCUGCCCCAGCCCCAGCCCAGGUCUCUUGUGGGAAUUUGCUUUGCAAAUGUAAAUAUUUGGCGCUGGCCAGCUGGUGACUUGAUCCAGGGUCAGAGGUACCUUGAAAAGAAACCUGACCAAGAGGCCUCUGGGAAGCAUUGGUCUAUGUCUGGCCUGGCCCUUCUGAGGGGAUGUUUUCAGACAGCCCAAUGCAGAAGAAAGACCCCUGACUCCACAAUCAGGGUGACCUGCUUGAAUCCAGCUCCUCUGCUCAAUGCUCUCACCCUGAGCACAGCUUUCUCCUCUCUGAGCCUCACUUUCUGCAUGUGAACAUUCUGUGCCACGAUGUGCUGGCACUAUGCAGGCCACCAUUAUUUCCUGACCCCACUAUGCCUGGCUGAGGCCUUUGGAAGAGAGAUCCCAGAAAUAUAUCUUUGAAACUUACAAAAAUCUCAACUACUCAUUAGGAGAAUCAUUUCCAGCCUGGGGUUAAGAGGGAAAGCUCCGGUUUCGGAUGGACCUGUGUUGAGCCUCUCAUCAUGGAUGUUCUGGGCAGGUCCCAAACAUGAAAGCCUCAGACUUCUCAUCUGGGAAAUGGCACUUGUAACAGUGGAAAAAUUCAAAUGAGCCAACAUGUGGAAGACCUGGGCACAGCUCCUGGUACGCAGCAAGUAUGAAAAAUGGAGUCUGCUGUAGUCCCAGGAAUGGACAGAAUAGAGGGACAGACAGCUCUCCUUGCCCCAAGGUGCCAGUUUGAUGAGAAUGUAAUUUUUUUCUCUAAGUAUAGUUAUUUGCUUCUGCUUCCCAUCUCUGCUUCUUCUCUUUCUCUCUUCCUCCCUCCCUCACACCCUCUCACUUUAAUAGAAAUGCAACUGUUCUGUAACUCUUCUUUUUUUUUUUUUUUUGGUACUGGGGAUCGAACUCAGGACCUUGUGCUUGAGAGGCAGGAGGCAGAACCACUGAGCUAAAUCCCCGGCCCUGUUCUGUAACUCUUGGUCUGGGCUUUCCCUUAACCAGAUGUGACAGCUGGCUCUCAGGUCAGCACAUAGAAACACUGGGUUCUGUCACAGAAUCUAGUUUUGUGCCUGUGGUCCCAUGGCUAUUUAGGUUGUUCCCAAUUUUGAGCUGUUCCCAGAAGUGUGAUAGGAAGCACCUGUCACCUGUGCCAUGGCUGGCUGGCUAAGGACUCUGUUGACCUCCUGCUGUGUCAUGGGCCAAACUGAACUGUUCCUUCUGCCACUUUUACUGCCCCCCUACCCCUGCCUUUGCCCAGGCUUUUCUUCCUCCUAGACUGAUUCUAGUGUGGCCCAGAGAGAUGGAGGGACUUCCCCAGGGUCCCACAGCCUGACUGGAUUAAGUCCUGGUUCUUUCUCUUUCUGGUGGGCCAGAGUGGGAGUGGACAGCAGCUGGGGUGUUGCACUGCAGUGGGACUGGAAGUCUCUUCAAUAGCUGGGACAUUCCAGGUGCUCAGCAGCCCUCAGCCCUGCAUGGGGUCACAGGCCCAGUGUUCUUGGCCAGGGCCGGGGAGGGAGGGAUGGUUUCAGGUGACCUUUCUCAGCCUGGGCUCCCUGACACCAUCAGACUUUCCUUCAUGACCUUGAGCUCAGGGUCAGCAGGUUCCCAGGAUGGGACCUUCACAGAGCCACAGACCAUGGCUUGCUGAGAUGGGAAAGGGAUGAGAACUGAGGCCUCUGGGAAGGUGUCAGAGGUCAGGCUGCCCUAUCCAUAUUCCAGCUUACCUUCCUGAGCCUUAGUGCCCCCUCUACACCACGGGAAAGUGCCUUUCUCACUCACCAUUGGAGAAUGCCGUAAAUAUUCUUAGUAUUCAGUAGGUGCUUACUAUGUGCAGUGCAACAUGGUUUUAGUGGGCAUUUGGAGAUGUCAGUUCUCCAUGCGAGCACACUGAUUGUGUAGCCUGGUGUCACACAGGGAACACGAGGACAAAGCAGACAGGGCCUGUCCUUUUCACAUACCAGUAGAGGGGGCCAGGCAUGGUUACCACUUUAUUCUGCAUGACAGGUGUCCAAGAAGCCAGAGGAUCCAGGAUGGGGAAACCACUGGAUCUGCUCAGGUUGGGGUGGACAUGGGAAAGGGAUGGAGGAAAGACGUGACAGCACAGUGGGCUCUGAAGGUAGGAGAUGGCACACGGAGAAGGGAAGGAAGCAUGCUCUAGACAGUGGGCUUAGGGCAAGCAAAGUCUGGAAGGGAGGGAGCUAUGGUAGGGGUGGGUGUAGCAGACCUAAGGGCUGGGCAUAGGGGGCUGUGGGGGAGCAUAAAGAGGAAGGGACAGGGGCAGGUUUCCACUUUA